rnacentral:rRNA from 1 species
AAAAACAUGGCUCUCUGAUUUUAUUAGAUAGAGAGUCGCGCCUGCCCAGUGAGCACUAUUUUAACGGCCGCAGUAUUUUGACUGUGCGAAGGUAGCAUAAUCAUUUGCCCUAUAAUUGGGGGCUAGUAUGAAUGGUUUGACGUGAGUGGCGCUGUCUCUGCGUUGAUUCCUUAGAAUUUGAUUUUUAGGUGAGGAAACCUAAAUUUUAUUAAAAGACAAGAAGACCCUAUUGAGCUUUAAAAGAGUAGGCGAAAUAUAAGUUAUUUAUUGAGAAACUUAUUUGUUUAAGAUUUUGGUUGGGGCGACUGAGGAACAACUAAAGCUUCUUUUUAUUUUUCGUCGUUUACGAACAUAGAUCCAAGCGUUUUGAUCGAAGGAAUUAGUUACCAUAGGGAUAACAGCACAAUCUCUUUUGAGAGCUCUUAUCGAAAAGGGGGUUUGUGACCUCGAUGUUGGAUUAAAACUUCCUGAAGAUGUAGUAGUGUUCAAGGGUUGGUCUGUUCGACCAUUAAAGUUUUACGUGAU